rnacentral:rRNA from 1 species
GAUGAACGCUGGCGGCGUGCCUAAUACAUGCAAGUCGAGCGAACAGACGAGGAGCUUGCUCCUCUGACGUUAGCGGCGGACGGGUGAGUAACACGUGGAUAACCUACCUAUAAGACUGGGAUAACUUCGGGAAACCGGAGCUAAUACCGGAUAAUAUAUUGAACCGCAUGGUUCAAUAGUGAAAGACGGUUUUGCUGUCACUUAUAGAUGGAUCCGCGCCGCAUUAGCUAGUUGGUAAGGUAACGGCUUACCAAGGCAACGAGGCGUAGCCGACCUGAGAGGGUGAUAGGCCACACUGGAACUGAGACGCGGUCCAGACUCCUACGGGAGGCAGCAGUAGCGAAUCUUCCGCAAUGGGCGAAAGCUUGACGGAGCAACGCCGCGUGAGUGAUGAAGGUCUUCGGAUCGUAAAACUCUGUUAUUAGGGAAGAACAAAUGUGUAAGUAACUAUGCACGUCUUGACGGUACCUAAUCAGAAAGCCACGGCUAACUACGUG